GACGAGCACUUCCAAUGCGCGUUGCACGUUCAGAACACACACAUCUACAGCGUCAGACCCGACGGCUCCACCACUGUUACUGACCGUAUCCUUUGAGAAAAUGAAGUACUUCAUCCCGUUCUGCCUUCUCCAAUGGGGAAACGGCGCUAUUAGUAGCCAAAUGUUCAUAACUCGCCUUCUGGGACUUGCCACUGUCAAUGGCGGGAUGCCCCGAGACAUCACCGCCUACGCAAACCAGCUGCUCAACAUCUUCCUCUCUUACGGCGCCAUCACGUUGCUUUCCAUGACAACGGUGUUUCUGGCCGGGCUCUACGUUUCAAUUAACCACCGCAGAAUCAUGCGAAGUCGUACCUUAUUCAACUCUGCCACCUUCCUGCUGCUUGUCAGCGUGACGGCCACCGUGCUAGCGAGCACCUAUCACUUGAUGGCAGUGAAGAAGACACUGGUCCGGGACUUUGAUCACGCUGUGUGCCAAGAAUACUAUACCACUAUGACGGCGCACGAAGAAGCUUGUGUGGAUGUACCACGCUGUAGGGCGAUAGAUGUCCCGUGUGGGAGAGGAGCGAAAAACCUGAAGGGUUCUAGAAGACGCUGUGGCGCUGCGGUCGGAAGUGUGGUGAGGCAGCCUCAUACUGUGUGGAUAGAAAGGGAGAUAAUUAGGUGUGUGCAAGCGAGAUGCGAUGUGAGAAAACUCAAUUUCAUGAACAUUGCAACGACGUUCACGGUUUCUAGCUUCGCUUCAAUUUGCGCGCUGGUAACCCUGGCGAGGAAUAUGCGCCCUCUGUGAGCGUUGCGACCCGAGAGAGAUUUUGGAGCUAUGAAGGAACUGGAGUAUGGCUAUAUGGUGUAACCGUAGGGUUAAUGCAUAAAUUAGCGAAUACUUUUGCGAUAGUUGCUUUGUGUUAAGUGAAUGGUUAUACCAGCAUUGAUAAUAAAAUAUUCAGGGACAGUGGG